rnacentral:misc_RNA from 1 species
GAGAAUGAGACUCUUUUUUUUUUAAGGAGACAUUCAUAGAUGGCUUUAAUGGAGUAUAAAAAUGUAGUUAAUUGGACUCACUUACAUAUGUCGGUAAACACUAGAAGUCAACACUCUCCACCUGCACUUCAUUUAGCUAGCAGAAAAAUAGUUAAGAGUAUAUCCAUGCUUCUGGUGUAUGAUUUGCAGGCUGAAGACAAU